rnacentral:sRNA from 12 species
UGAUAUCAGGGUCAAAAGGUCAGAAAGUCGUUCGUGCUUGCACGAUAAGACUUUGGAGCUUGGGACUCGUCAAACAUGAGAAAGUAGCAAUUUACGUAGUAAAUCAGAGGAUUUCGAAUGUUUGAGUAUUGACAGGCCAGAGUCAGGAAAAUUUUUGACUCUGGCCUGCUAUAUA